GCCCGGGGCAAAAAAGAGCAUAUUGAUAUUGUGCCCCGAUUCUAAAUGACGUGACGUCACUGCGUCCUUAACGACACGUUUGUGAUAAAAGUUUAAGAUUUUACCUUUUAUCUUUCAUUAAAUUGUUAUAAUUGACCUUUUUUUCUCUUUUCUGCAGAAAUUAAAUAUGUGAUAAAAAGAUUAUAACAUGUCUUUUCCAUAUUGGCCCUGGUAUCAUCCCUCGACCCAUAUCGGCCCUCGGCUAAAGCCUCGAGGCCGAUAUGGGAGUCUCGAGAUGAUACCAGGGCCAAUAUGGAAAAGGGCAUGUUAUAAUCUAUACGUA
rnacentral:lncRNA from 1 species